rnacentral:lncRNA from 1 species
GGGAUUCCUCCCCGCCGCCAGGGGGCGCUGUGGCACGGGCUGGGCCCACACACGGUAAUGGCGGCUCGGCCAGGAGGGGAUGGGAGAGAGGCUUUGCUGCACCAACACAAAGCCGAUUCCAGUGCCCCAGCAGGACUCUUGGAAACAGCAAACUGGGAUGGUAAGAUGUCUUGGCAGGCAAGGGGUACAGGGCUACAGUGCAGUGAAACCUAGAGCAGUGAUGAAGAAGCGGCGGGGGCGGGACGGUGGAGGCCUGGCUCUGAUCAGGGCAGGGAGAGCAUCGAGGGUCCCGGGCACCGGAGCAGAUUGGUCCCUUAUUUACUGAGGUAGGUAUUAAUAAAGUCCCAGUUCUCAAGUUCUCAAGUUCUCAAGCUGCCUCUCACAAGCAACGGCUUACCCCAUGGCAGAAGAAGUAGCUUUGGGCUCUGAUGGCGGCAGCAAAUUCCCUUCCCCAAGCAGCAGCAGCUCCAACCGGCCUCCCCUGAAGCUGAGAGAGAGCCAGCAGCUCCCCCAGCCCUGUCUUUUAUCUGCCCAAUCCUCAUGGUAUCUCUGCCCCUUGGAGAGAAACUCCCUGAUAAGAGAAGGGCAACCAGCUGCCUUCCUCCCCUGAGCUUGGCCACUUCUUUUGUUUUUCUUAAGUAUCCAGUUGUUAGUGUUUCCUAGCAAGUUAUGGGAAAAAAUUCUAUAAGCAAAAAGGAACAAAAGCAAAGAAACCAAACCCCUAAGAAGAUCAUACUUUCUUAUAAUUAUUUUCCCAAGAGGAAUACUUUGUUUUACAUGUUACCAUGCUUUUUUUUUUUCCACUGGGAUGCAUAAAAGAGGUCAAACUAGAGAGCAGCAAUCAGGAGCACAACACUGUAAUUCUCAUUUACAAUUUUUUUCAUAUUCUUCAGCAGAUUUUCCAUGAGAUGGGAGAGCAGUUCAGAAGCUGUGGAUCUGCUGCUGCUGCUGCAGAAGACUACUUCACAAGAAAUGUGUUACUGGAGUUUGAAUGCUCCAGGAAGGGAAGCCAUGAAUUUUUGGUUGAGAAAAGAUUACAACAGCUUCAGCGAAACAUCACAGGCUGGCCCUCACUUCUGUUUUUACUGAGCACAGUUAUAGGGUCUCUGUGAGGUGUGUGUUCAAGGCUGCAAGAGGAAGUGAUGGGUAGAGAAAUAGAGUCCUCAGUGCUGCAGAUGCUGUGCCUGAAAUUAUUGAAGAGAUAAAAAUUAUAGAUGCUUCAAGUACAUAUUGCUUUAUCACAAAAUUCUUUUCAGCAGCUGAGGCAAAAAGAUUUUCAUAGAAUCGUUACCAAAUAUGCAAAGCAAGUGUAAAGGAC